rnacentral:rRNA from 1 species
UACGAGUGCUCCAAGCGUUAUCCGGAAUCAUUGGGCGUAAAGGGUGUGUAGGUGGUUGUGUUAGUCUUCUGUUAAAUUCUUCGGCUUAACCGGGGGCAUGCAGGGGAAACGGCACAACUAGAGGAUGCGAGAGGUACAUGGAACUCAUGGAGUAGGGGUGAAAUCCGUUGAUAUCAUGGGGAACACCGAAAGCGAAGGCAAUGUACUGGCGCACUCCUGACACUGAGACACGACAGCAUGGGGAGCGAACGGG